GAUGAACGCUGGCGGCGUGCCUAAUACAUGCAAGUCGAGCGAACAGAUGAGGAGCUUGCUCCUCUGACGUUAGCGGCGGACGGGUGAGUAACACGUGGAUAACCUACCUAUAAGACUGGGAUAACUUCGGGAAACCGGAGCUAAUACCGGAUAAUAUAUUGAACCGCAUGGUUCAAUAGUGAAAGACGGUUUUGCUGUCACUUAUAGAUGGAUCCGCGCCGCAUUAGCUAGUUGGUAAGGUAACGGCGUACCAAGGCGACGAUGCGUAGCCGACCUGAGAGGGUGAUCGGCCACACGGGAACUGAGACACGGUCCAGACUCCUACGGGAGGCAGCAGUAGGGAAUCUUCCGCAAUGGGCGAAAGCUUGACGGAGCAACGCCGCGUGAGUGAUGAAGGUCUUCGGAUCGUAAAACUCUGUUAUUAGGGAAGAACAAAUGUGUAAGUAACUAUGCACGUCUUGACGGUACCUAAUCAGAAAGCCACGGCUAACUACGUG
rnacentral:rRNA from 1 species